rnacentral:rRNA from 1 species
UACGAAGGGGGCUAGCGUUGCUCGGAAUCACUGGGCGUAAAGGGUGCGUAGGCGGGUCUUUAAGUCAGGGGUGAAAUCCUGGAGCUCAACUCCAGAACUGCCUUUGAUACUGAGAUCUUGAGUCCGGGAGAGGUGAGUGGAACUGCGAGUGUAGAGGUGAAAUUCGUAGAUAUUCGCAAGAACACCAGUGGCGAAGGCGGCUCACUGGCCCGGUACUGACGCUGAGGUGCGAAAGCGUGGGGAGCAAACAGG